AAUGCGAUCCAUCCAAUAUUGUCAUCAACCACGAUGGACGUCGUCGAAGGGAGCAAGUUUAGAGACAAGAUCAAGACACAAUGAGGCAAUUCUCUUUACCACAAACAUAGGAUGGAAAUAAAGCUCCUCCUUUGAAGAAGUACUGGAAUAUAUGAAGAAUAAAGAAUAGCAAGGAAAGAAUCCAACUAAGCAAUGUGAAUCUCCUUUACUCAAACACAAGCAUUUUGGUGGAGUAGCCAAGUCAACUCCAGUUUUUCCAGAUUAUCGAUUAGGAGUUUGGCUGGGUUAAGAGCUAAAUGCUCAUUUGGCACUUCCUUACAAGAUAAUGACGACUUAAGUGCAUGGCUCAAAGAGAACAUGUAUUGUUUUUGGGAGAGGGAACUGAAGAAACAGAGUUGAAGGAUACGUAGGUGACGCAUUGCUAACUCGGAUGUCUAUUGUCUUUCUUGGAUUCUUUGGCGAGUCAUUCGGCAAAUCCAAUUCCGAUAACACGUGACUUUGACCGGAUAAAUAGUUAUCCAUUGAUAGACAUCUUUCUUUAGAAAGAUAAUCCUGGAUGGAUGUUUUUUUCGUUGGCUAUGUGCGGAUGUUGUCAUGGUUGUAAAGAUUGUAACAUUUGGAAAUCAUUCAACAUAAUGUUUUCUCCCAAAAUAUAUGUAAAUAAUUGUUAACAAUUAGUAUGAUAUGUUGUCUAUAUUAAAUUUCAGAAUUACUUGUAUGUUCACUUCUCUGCAAUUAUACAAAAAAAAAAAAAAAAAAACAAUUUUUAUAAUAUUGGGCCCGUGCUAGCGUAGGCCAUCACUAUCUAGUUUUAGUAGAAGUCCCUAACUUGAAUAGUUAUUGGACUUGACUUGGAAAGCAGUUACAAGCCCAAACUUUUAAUAUGGACUGCGUAAUUUGAACAAUUUUUUUUGGCGCAGAUUGACCUUCA